GGUUAAGCGACUAAGCGUACACGGUGGAUGCCCUGGCAGUCAGAGGCGAUGAAGGACGUGCUAAUCUGCGAUAAGCGUCGGUAAGGUGAUAUGAACCGUUAUAACCGGCGAUUUCCGAAUGGGGAAACCCAGUGUGUUUCGACACACUAUCAUUAACUGAAUCCAUAGGUUAAUGAGGCGAACCGGGGGAACUGAAACAUCUAAGUACCCCGAGGAAAAGAAAUCAACCGAGAUUCCCCCAGUAGCGGCGAGCGAACGGGGAGGAGCCCAGAGCCUGAAUCAGUGUGUGUGUUAGUGGAAGCGUCUGGAAAGGCGCGCGAUACAGGGUGACAGCCCCGUACACAAAA
rnacentral:rRNA from 1 species